rnacentral:rRNA from 1 species
UCGAGGAUCUUCCGCAAUGGGGGCAACCCUGACGGAGCGACGCCGCGUGCAGGAUGAAGGCCUUCGGGUCGUAAACUGCUGUCACACGUUAUGAAAAAGUAUGAACUAACACUUCAUACCUUGACAAAGGCGUGAAAGGAAGCCACGGCUAACUUCGUGCCAGCAGCCGCGGUAAGACGAAGGUGGCUAGCGUUGCUCGGAUUUACUGGGCAUAAAGCGCGCGUAGGUGGUCGUGUAAGCGGGAGAUGAAAGCCCAUGGCUCACCCAUGGAACUGUCUCCCGGACUGCAUGGCUUGAGGAAGGAAGGGGAGAAUGGAAUUCCCGGUGUAGCGGUGAAAUGCGUAGAUAUCGGGAGGAACGCCGGUGGCGAAAGCGAUUCUCUGGUCCUUUCCUGACACUGAUGCGCGAAAGCUAGGGGAGCAAACAGGAUUAGAUACCCGGGUAGUCC